GUCAGGAUGGCCGAGCGGUCGAAGGCGCCAGACUCAAGUUCUGGUCUCCAAAUGGAGGCGUGGGUUCGAAUCCCACUCCUGACA
rnacentral:tRNA from 1 species